AAUUCUUAAAGUGUUUAUUUUAUACCAUAAGCAAUUAAUUAUAUAUUAAUGACUAGUUACAAAAACUGAAAGCAUCAUAAAUUGCAGAGAAUUAGAAGAGACAUUAAAAUUAUAUAUUCCAGUGGUAUUAAAAUUUUUAUAGCAUCAACACUAUUUAUUCAGAUGAUAUCUGAUGUGAAAAACUGAUUAUAUAAAAUAUAAAAUGCUGGAUAAAAUAAUUUAAUAUGCUUUCAGAUAUAUAAGUCUGAAGAAAAUUAACAGAGGCCAAGGAACAUAAUGGAAUGUGGUUUCUGGAAUUUAUUAAGCAAUGAAGUUGCCAGAUGCCCUCAGGGAAUAGACAGAACCAAAGCACUAGAUCUCUUUCAUAUAAAAAUUAGGAGUUUGUGAAAAGUAGAGAAGUAGAUUGAAGAAUACCAAACACAAAGCUAAUCUUUGGAUGAAAUAAACAUGUUGGAAAGGUAAAAAAUAAAUAAAACUGCACUAAAAAAAAGCAAACCACAAAGAGAAUUCUAGACCUGCUGUUAUUUGGUGACUUAAGUAAAUGGCUAGCUAGAUAGAUAGAUAGAUAAAUCCAUUUUGAGAUAUAAUGGGCACUAUAACAAUGGCUUAGUAACAGAUUAGAGUUUGAACUUAACAGUGCCAACUCAAGAUUUGUGAUUUAAUUGAAGAGGAACUGGGCUUGCUGUGCUCCCAGGACCUGAGAAGAUCAAGAACAAUUUCUCCUGGAAGAACAACCAUGCAAUUCAUCCUCAAGAAUUACCACAGGGGCUGGCCUGGUGGUGCAGCAGUUAAGUGUGCACAUUCUGCUUUGAGGGCCCAGGUUCACUGGUUCGGAUCCCAGGUGUGGACAUGGCACUGCUUGGUAAGCCAUGCUGUGGUAGGCAUCCCACAUAUAAAGCAGAGGAAGAUGGGCAUGGAUGUUAGCUCAGGGCCAGUCUUCCUCAGCAAGAAAGAAGAGGAUUGGCAGCAGAUGUUAGCUCAGGGGACAUCUGAAACAUCUAACAACAGAACCAACCUCACAAGUACUUCCAAACUACAAUAGAUUUUAAAACAAUGCAGAACAAUCAUGUUUCUAUGUUUAAGGGAGUAAAAUAAGAAAAAUAAAGUAUAAAUUAGGAGCCCUAAACUGUUAUAAGUGAUCAGGAAGCCUUGACGGUUAGUCAAAUGGAAAUUUUAGAAACAAUGCACAAAAAUACACAUACACAAAUUUUUAAGUAACAGUGGUCUUAAACAGAAAAUUAGAUAGAGCAGAGAAGAAGAUUAAUAAAAUUGAAACUGGACACAAAGAAAGUAUAUGGAAUGAAGGACAAAGAAACAAAUAUACGGAAAAUACAUAACGAAUGAAAUAUAAUGAAAAGAAUUAGAAAACCCAAGGUCUAUGUCACAGAGUUUCUAGGAACAGAUUUUAGAAAGAAGUGAGUAGAGUCAGUUAAUAAAAUUCACCAAUCUUCAGAUUCAGAAAGUCCAAAGAAUCUUAAGCAGAAUAAAUAAAAAUAAAUCCAUGCCUAGUCACUUAAAUGUUAAACCACAGUUACACAGAGAAGGUAAAGAGAAAAGUGAUAAGCAGCCACAGAGAAAGAAGGUUUUCUGUAAUUGGAAAGAAAAUUAAAUGAUAAUUGACUUCUCAAGAACAGUAAUGGAAGUUAAAAGAAAAUGAAAUAAAAAUGUGUUGAGAGGAAACCACCUUAAACCAUAGAAACAACUGCACCAAGCGUUCAUUCACAAACGAGGGUAAGGAAAGUUUUUCAUAUAAACAAACAUAGAGCAUGCCUAAAUAUAAUU
ensembl:lncRNA